AAUAGAUACCCGGGUAGUCCACGCCGUAAACGAUGAAUGCUAGCCGUUGGCCGGUUUACCGAUCAGUGGCGCAGCUAACGCUUUAAGCAUUCCGCCUGGGGAGUACGGUCGCAAGAUUAAAACUCAAAGGAAUUGACGGGGGCCCGCACAAGCGGUGGAGCAUGUGGUUCAAUUCGACGCAACGCGAAGAACCUUACCAGCUCUUGACAUGUCCAGGACCGGUCGCAGAGAUGUGACCCUCUCUUCGGAGUCUGGAACACAGGUGCUGCAUGGCUAUCGUCAGCUCGUGUCGUGAGAUGUUGGGUUAAGUCCCGCAACGAGCGCAACCCUCGCCCUUAGUUGCCAUCAUUUAGUUGGGCACUCUAAGGGGACUGCCGGUGAUAAGCCGCGAGGAAGGUGGGGAUGACGUCAAGUCCUCAUGGCCCUUACGGGCUGGGCUACACACGUGCUACAAUGGCGGUGACAGUGGGAUGCAAUGGAGUAAUCCUGCGCAAAUCUCAAAAAGCCGUCUCAGUUCGGAGUU
rnacentral:rRNA from 1 species